UACACCAAUGAUUGUAAGUCGCUUUUGGACAAAAGCAUCGGCAAAAUGAAUGUAA
rnacentral:sRNA from 14 species